rnacentral:rRNA from 1 species
AGUGGGGAACUUUCCGCAAUGGGCGAAAGCCUGACGGAGCAAGACCGCGUGGGGGAGGAAGGUUCUUGGAUUGUCAACCCCUUUUCUCAGGGAAGAACGCAAUGACGGUACCUGAGGAAAAAGCAUCGGCUAACUCCGUGCCAGCAGCCGCGGUAAUAAGGGGGAUGCAAGCGUUAUCCGGAAUGAUUGGGCGUAAAGAGUCCGCAGGUAGUCAUCCAAGUCUGCUGUUAAAGAGCGAGGCUUAACCUCGUAAAGGCAGUGGAAACUGGAAGACUAGAGUGUAGUAGGGGCAGAGGGAAUUCCUGGUGUAGCGGUGAAAUGCGUAGAGAUCAGGAAGGACGCCGGUGGCGAAGGCGCUCUGCUGGGCUAUAACUGACACUGAGGGACGAAAGCUAGGGGAGCGAAUGGGAUUAGAUACCCCAGUAGUCCUAGCGGUAAACGAUGGAAACUAGGUGUGGCCUGUAUCGAC